UACAGAGGGUGCGAGCGUUGUCCGGAAUCACUGGGCGUAAAGGGCGCGUAGGCGGCUUUGCAAGCGUGCGGUGAAAGCUCGGGGCUUAACUCCGAGUCUGCCGUGCGAACUGUGAGGCUUGAGUCUGGUAGAGGUCGAUGGAAUUCCGGGUGUAGCGGUGGAAUGCGUAGAGAUCGGAAGGAACACCAGUGGCGAAGGCGGCUACCUGGCCUAAUACUGACACUGAGGCACGAAAGCGUGGGGGAGCAA
rnacentral:rRNA from 1 species